rnacentral:rRNA from 1 species
UACGGAGGGUGCAAGCGUUGUCCGGAAUCAUUGGGCGUAAAGCGCACGUAGGCGGCUCUUUAAGUCUCUUGGUGAAAGGCUGGGGCUCAACCCCAUGCAUGCCGGGGAUACUGGGGAGCUGGAGACAGGUAGAGGCCAGCGGAAUUCCGGGUGUAGCGGUGGAAUGCGUAGAGAUGUGGAGGAAUACCGAUGGCGAAGGCAGCCCCCUGGGAUAAUACUGACGCUCAGGCACGAAAGCGUGGGGAGCAAACAGG